rnacentral:rRNA from 1 species
AGAGUUUGAUCCUGGCUCAGGAUGAACGCUGGCGGCGUGCUUAACACAUGCAAGUCGAACGAAGCACCUUGAUUUGAUUCUUCGGAUGAAGAUCCUGGUGACUGAGUGGCGGACGGGUGAGUAACGCGUGGGUAACCUGCCUCAUACAGGGGGAUAACAGUUAGAAAUGACUGCUAAUACCGCAUAAGACCACAGCACCGCAUGGUGCAGGGGUAAAAACUCCGGUGGUAUGAGAUGGACCCGCGUCUGAUUAGGUAGUUGGUGGGGUAACGGCCUACCAAGCCGACGAUCAGUAGCCGACCUGAGAGGGUGACCGGCCACAUUGGGACUGAGACACGGCCCAAACUCCUACGGGAGGCAGCAGUGGGGAAUAUUGCACAAUGGGGGAAACCCUGAUGCAGCGACGCCGCGUGAGCGAUGAAGUAUUUCGGUAUGUAAAGCUCUAUCAGCAGGGAAGAAAAUGACGGUACCUGACUAAGAAGCACCGGCUAAAUACGUGCCAGCAGCCGCGGUAAUACGUAUGGUGCAAGCGUUAUCCGGAUUUACUGGGUGUAAAGGGAGCGUAGACGGAGUGGCAAGUCUGAUGUGAAAACCCGGGGCUCAACCCCGGGACUGCAUUGGAAACUGUCAAUCUAGAGUACCGCAGAGGUAGGCGGAAUUCCCGGUGUAGCGGUGGAAUGCGUAGAUAUCGGGAGGAACACCAGUGGCGAAGGCGGCCUACUGGGCACCAACUGACGCUGAGGCUCGAAAGUGUGGGUAGCAAACAGGAUUAGAUACCCUGGUAGUCCACACUGUAAACGAUGAUUACUAGGUGUUGGAGGAUUGACCCCUUCAGCGCCGCAGUUAACACAAUAAGUAAUCCACCUGGGGAGUACGACCGCAAGGUUGAAACUCAAAGGAAUUGACGGGGGCCCGCACAAGCAGUGGAGUAUGUGAUUUAAUUCGACGCAACGCGAAGAACCUUACCAAGUCUUGACAUCCUGCGACGCACAUAGAAAUAUGUGUUUCCUUCGGGACGCAGAGACAGGUGGUGCAUGGUUGUCGUCAGCUCGUGUCGUGAGAUGUUGGGUUAAGUCCCGCAACGAGCGCAACCCUUAUGGUCAGUUACUACGCAAGAGGACUCUGGCCAGACUGCCGUUGACAAAACGGAGGAAGGUGGGGAUGACGUCAAAUCAUCAUGCCCUUUAUGACUUGGGCUACACACGUACUACAAUGGCGUUAAACAAAGAGAAGCAAGACCGCGAGGUGGAGCAAAACUCAGAAACAACGUCCCAGUUCGGACUGCAGGCUGCAACUCGCCUGCACGAAGUCGGAAUUGCUAGUAAUCGCAGAUCAGCAUGCUGCGGUGAAUACGUUCCCGGGCCUUGUACACACCGCCCGUCACACCAUGAGAGCCGGGGGGACCCGAAGUCGGUAGUCUAACCGCAAGGAGGACGCCGCCGAAGGUAAAACUGGUGAUUGGGGUGAAGUCGUAACAAGGUA